GUCUGGCCUGAGUCACCCCAGCUCUGUGAGUGGUGGUACCCCAUGCCACAGGGUCUGCAAGGAAGCCCGGUCGCCAAGGCAGGAAGCUCUAAAGAUGACUUGUGCAAGAAGCAGCCACCUAAAUUGUGGAAGAGGAGGAAUUAAGAUUAAUUGAAACAGUAAAUCAACAUUCUGUGUGUGGGGGAGAAUAUAUUUCCAGCGCAUUUUUCGCCAGCUCACCAAAGCAGCACCGUUUAGCAUGCUGAUUUACAAAUGGGAACGGAAAUGACUAGGACAUCAGACUGCCUCACUGGGCUACCAAAUUAGAGGAUCCUUCUGAGAAAGUCACUCUGGCAUUUGAGUGUAGAGUCAGGCCAUCUGUGUUAGGUGAAGUCCCACUUUCCCCAAUUCUAUAGGUGAGAAGCUACUCUGGCCAGUAGGACAUGCACCCCAGUGGCAAAUGAAGGACUCCCCCAAAUAUUAUUUCACUGAGAUAAGUCCUUAAUGAUAGAUAGAUAUUAACAUUUGCUGUGCAGGCAUUUCCCACUGUGUUUUUUACCCUAAGAACUUAAGUUGAUCUAACGCACUUAAUCUGUGUGCUUACUGCCUGUUCCAUCUCACUAGAGUGUAAGCCCCAUGAUGAGGGCCAAGUGUUUGUCUGCUCCAUGUCUUGCCCUGUCACCUGCCCUUGACACACCUGGAACAUCAGAGGUGCUGCAGGAGCAUUUGUUGACUGAAUGACGGAGCCUAACCUUGCUGUGGGGACCUGCCCUGUCUGUUACUGUGUGCUGCCCAGCACACUCUGCUCUCACUGCAGAGCCCACAUGCCUGGGUCAGGGCCAGUUUCAUGAUGUUACUCCACAGACAUUAAGGAAUACAUCUUGCUGGGAGCAUUCAUGGCUGAGAAGAGAAGAGAAGCCAGAGAAGAGAAGGCACGUGUUUCCUGAUCCCCUUAUCUUUCCACUGUGGUAGGUGCUAAGGCCAGGAUGCUGAUUUGUUCCAGUGGAGGAAGCCCUGCCUUGCUGAUAUUCCUUCUGUGGGACAAGUGUGACAGCAGCGUUCUUGGUGGGCAUAAGCAGACAUGUCUGGCUCUGAGUGGUCUGGCUUUGGGAGGCCAGCUGUUUGUAGGAGCUGCCCAGCACCUGAAGACUGUGGUCUGGCAAGAAGAUGAGCUUGGCCUAUCCUCUACCACUGGGAUUGCUCCCACCUGGCUCAUUGUUCGGGAAACCUGGAGAGAGCCCUAGGGUUAUUUUUGGAAAAUCUUGUUUGUUGCACCACAUUUUAUGCUGACAGAACAGGCACAGAGGAUUGGAUAAUUUGAUCAAGGUCAUAUGCCUGCCAACGUGGCAGAUGUAAAGCCAGAUUUGACUCCUAGGACCAUUUUCAUCCUACUGGCCCAUUUUGCCCAGACUCCUCCAAGCUGCUAAGCAAUCUGGGGAAGGACCCUGAACAUCAGCACUGGGUUACCUCUGGAGGCCCUUGUGCCUGUGGUCUGGACUCACAGGUGGUCAAGUCUCCUUCAGGAGGCAGGGAGAAAUGGAAGGCAGUGGCUUUGUCAGGGUCUGCCAAGGGCCCAGCGUUCCUCAUGCACCCUCUUGCUCCUGGUGUCCUUACAGCUGAGGCUCAGGCAUGCGGCCUCUUGCCUGGACUCAUACAGUGAGAGAUGGUGGGCCAGGGUUGGUCUCACACCACUGUCUUGAGUAUCCUUUGCAUAGGACCUGCCCUGCAUCACUUCCAUGGUCCUUUGGCAGUUCCCAGGGAUGCUGCAGCUGCCAAGAGUUUUCAUGGCACUUGAUCUCAUGUGCUGGUACUUCUGCUAUUAGAGGCGGAGCUUGGCUCACCUCCUGCUACCUGGGGAUGCGUUAUGGUUCCAGCAGGGCCACUUUUUACUUGGCCUCACCCCUGGACAGUAUCCAGGUGAGGCCACCACAUGCACCUGUCUAGUUGUGACUGGCCUUUGGGAUUUGAGGGGCAUUGUCUCAGCCAGCUUUGACACCUCCAGGAACCAGGUCUUCUGGCAUGGGAACAGGACCAUGAACCAGUUCUUCCACUGAAGAAACCAGCCCUUAGUACAGAGGUAGGGUCCAAAUGUUAAUGGAGCAAGGCACAGCAGCACCUAUAUAAAUGUAUGGCAUACAUGUGGGUCAUAUGCACACACAUCGACACGGAGAUGGGUGCCUUGAAACCAAACACAUGCUUAGGUUUUGUGCAUGCCAUUUGCCUCAUGUGUGUGCGCAUGGUUAGACACACACCCACACAGGCAAACAGACAUGCAGAGAAGUGGGGUUGCAAAGAAAUAAUCUUAUUUGGCUCCCAUAUACGUUGACCUCUGAUUCCUUUUCUGUGGAAAUAAAUCAUACUUUAAUGAAUGAUUGAGCCAAAUGUGGCCAAACUCAGAUCACAGGAGUGGUGUUAGCUGGGGAGACAUCCCAGUGUCAGAGAGGAGGAAUGGCAUUUGCUGAGUUCCCACAGAGUUCUGGGGAUUGCAGUAGGGACAUUACCUGAUUUACUACUAAGUCAGGAUGUGGGUGGGUGUUAUUGUACUUUCCUUGAAUGCAUAGGUGGGGCCAUGAGAAGUGGGUGACUGCCGGACUCGCAGCAGCACAGAACUGGAGGCCAGAUUCCCCCAUCAUGGCCCUGACCUGUGCAGGGUCCUGUACAGGGAGGUUCUGGCUGUUGACCCUGGGACACAACAUGUGGUGAGCCAUGGAGAGGUGUCAGCCCUUCCUGGCCCAGCUGCCUCACCUGAGAGGAAGUCAGAUCUGCUUGGGGAGAUCUAUCUUUGCUGGAAUACCUCUGCUGGGACUUUCACGUGGCCGUUCUUUUUUUGCUCAGUCCUGCCAUAGAGCAAAUCCAGUUGCUGCUUUCCUGGCAGCCUUCAGAUCUUCCUGCACCCUAGGCUCAGCCCUGUGCAACCAGACGAGACCCUCGGCACAUGGGAUAGAUGUCCCCAGACUUCAUUUUGAAAAGAAGUCCACAUAUGAAGUGCCUGGGAGCACUGAGGACCUCACAGCAAGGUUGCCAACUUGUUCUUUGGCAGAAUGCUGUGAAUGUCACUUCUCCCACAUGGCUUCUGUGCACCACGGGGACAGCAAACAAGCAUCACGGCAUCUGCAGAAGGACCUGGAGUGCAGAAGUCUGGUGCUCUCAGUCUGUGCUGGCUUUCUCUGACUUCUCAUCUUCCCACGCCCUCAUUUCCCAUAGCCCCACAGAGUAAUGGACUGACAGAGUUAGGGAGACCCCUCUUGGGGCAGGCACAACAUAAGGGUGUAGACAGCCACAGGUUGGGAUUAGAGAACUGUAAGGAACCUCUGUUAGAGGACCUUUGAGGUUCCAUCUGUGGAUAAAUGUGGAAAAAAUUGUUUCAUGAGUUUGAUGAUCAUGUCAGAAUCAUUUUUCUGGGUUGCCAAUGUGUUCACAUUCAUAGCUUAAUAUAAAAUAUAGGCAUCAGGAGACAGGCCCUUUUAUAUUUGUGAAUAUUUUUGUAUCACCUUGUGACAGACUAAUAAAUAUUGUUGAAGGAGG